rnacentral:sRNA from 1 species
AUGUACCACUUGUGCACUGCGGUUCCUCCGCCAUCCACACCCGCCUGACGACUGCUCGCUAGUUCUGUUAGCC